UACAGAGGGGGCAAGCGUUGUUCGGAAUUACUGGGCGUAAAGGGCGCGUAGGCGGCCACCUAAGUCAGACGUGAAAUCCCUCGGCUUAACCGGGGAACUGCAUCUGAUACUGGAUGGCUUGAGAUUGGGAGAGGGAUGCGGAAUUCCAGGUGUAGCGGUGAAAUGCGUAGAUAUCUGGAGGAAUACCGGUGGCGAAAGCGACUCUCUGGACGGUUACUGACGCUGAGGCACGAAAGCGUGGGGAGCAAGCAGG
rnacentral:rRNA from 1 species